rnacentral:rRNA from 1 species
GAUGAACGCUGGCGGCGUGCUUAACACAUGCAAGUCGAACGAUGAAGCCCAGCUUGCUGGGUGGAUUAGUGGCGAACGGGUGAGUAACACGUGAGUAACCUGCCCUUAACUCUGGGAUAAGCCUGGGAAACUGGGUCUAAUACCGGAUAGGAGCGUCCACCGCAUGGUGGGUGUUGGAAAGAUUUAUCGGUUUUGGAUGGACUCGCGGCCUAUCAGCUUGUUGGUGGGGUAAUGGCUCACCAAGGCGACGACGGGUAGCCGGCCUGAGAGGGUGACCGGCCACCAUGGGACUGAGAGACGGCCCAGACUCCUACGGGAGGCAGCAGUGGGGAAUAUUGCACAAUGGGCGCAAGCCUGAUGCAGCGACGCCGCGUGAGGGAUGACGGCCUUCGGGUUGUAAACCUCUUUCAGUAGGGAAGAAGCGAAAGUGACGGUACCUGCAGAAGAAGCACCGGCUAACUACGUG